GACGAACGCUGGCGGCGUGCUUAACACAUGCAAGUCGAACGGUGAAGCGCUUGCCUUUUUGGUGGGUGUGGAUGAGUGGCGAACGGGUGAGUAACACGUGAGUAACCUGCCCUCUUCUUCUGGAUAACCUCAUGAAAGUGGGGCUAAUACGGGGUAUUCCGGGUCUGUCGCAUGGCGGGUUUGGGAAAGAUUGCGCCUUUGGGUGUUUUCGGUGGGGGAUGGGCUCGCGGCCUAUCAGCUUGUUGGUGGGGUGAUGGCCUACCAAGGCGGUGACGGGUAGCCGGCCUGAGAGGGUGGACGGCCACACGGGGACUGAGACACGGCCCAGACUCCUGCGGGAGGCAGCAGUGGGGAAGAUUGCACAAUGGGCGCAAGCCUGAUGCAGCGACGCCGCGUGAGGGAUGGAGGCCUUCGGGUUGUGAACCUCUUUCGCCAGUGAAGCAGGCCUGCUCCUGUGUGGGUGGGUCGACGGUAGCUGGAUAAGAAGCGCCGGCUAACUACGU
rnacentral:rRNA from 1 species